AACGAACGCUGGCGGCAUGCCUAAUACAUGCAAGUCGAACGAGAUCUUCGGAUCUAGUGGCGCACGGGUGCGUAACGCGUGGGAAUCUGCCCUUGGGUUCGGAAUAACUUCUGGAAACGGAAGCUAAUACCGGAUGAUGACGUAAGUCCAAAGAUUUAUCGCCCAAGGAUGAGCCCGCGUAGGAUUAGCUAGUUGGUGGGGUAAAGGCCCACCAAGGCGACGAUCCUUAGCUGGUCUGAGAGGAUGAUCAGCCACACUGGGACUGAGACACGGCCCAGACUCCUACGGGAAGCAGCAGUAGGGAAUAUUGGACAAUGGGGGAAACCCUGAUCCAGCAAUGCCGCGUGAGUGAUGAAGGCCUUAGGGUUGUAAAGCUCUUUUACCCGGGAUGAUAAUGACAGUACCUGGAGAAUAAGCUCCGGCUAACUCCGUG
rnacentral:rRNA from 1 species